CCCUGGGUCAUAAGAUACAAGGCAGGAAGGAAGUCAUCAAGGUUUUAACACCUGAAAGUGGUUAAUGCCUCAGUUCCUAGAGUUCCUGCCAUUGCCACACACUCUACCCCUAGCACUGUGUGGGGCACAUGGACAGCACAUGGGGAACCUGUGAUUGGGUCUCUGCUCUCCAGGAAUGUCUAGCACGCAGGCAACAUCACAAAGGAGGGCAGGACUGGCUGUGGGGUGCAGUGGACUGCAAAGGGGGAGAUAGGACAGAGGCUUUUAGCAACUAGGGGAAGUUUCACGAGGAGGAGGGGCUGACACCUGAAGCAGAGAUGAGAGUCCAACAGGCAGCAGGUGGGCGGGGAUCUGUGUCUGCAGAAGUUCAGCGGUGAAGGCUACACCAGGAAAUCUCAAGAGACAGAAAAGAUCAACUACACUGGAGCUGGGGGGACGUGAAGGAGAAAAAAGCAAACAGGGGCUGAGCAGCUGCUCCUUCCAUUCAUGGAUCAUUGAGGUCUCUGGCUGCCCUGUGUGGUUCUUUCCUUGACAUCACUUGGAUCCCUUCAUAGCUCACCAGGUCUUACUUGGAGCCAGCUAUUUGAAGCCUGGUAAGUAGAGAGCGAGAGAAAACGCCAGCAGGCAACAAGUCUGAGGAUGGCUUUGGGCUUGAUUGAGUAGUGCUUUUCUUCUUUCUUCCUCCACUAGUUUUAGAACAUGAGCUUCAGAAUGUGACAGAGCCCGCAUCAAACCCCAGCGUUGCCCCUUAGCAGACGUGAGGCCCUGGGCCAGCGCCUUGUCUCUCCAUUUUCUGCCCUUAUCUGUAAAAUGAGGCAAUAGUGUCCAUGCCUCAGGGUUGUUGUGAGAUGUAGGUGAGAGAUUAAAACCGUAGCCCAUUGUCAGGCACACAGUACAUGUUCAAUGCAUGGUUGCUAUUCUCAUAAGUUCAUUUAUUAAAAAGUUGGCCAAAUAUCAGGCUGUACUCACGUAACUAAAAUUUAUUUACUGUUCAUGGCCAGAGUGAUAGGUUUUGAACUUUGCUUUCUUCAUUUCUUCUCUUGUCUCUUAGCACAUUUAAAGGUCAUAAAUAAGAAAUUUAAAUUGAGGCCUUCUAAAGUUGCUGAGGUAUGCUUAAAAAGUGAAUUUGUUGCAUACACAGUGAGUAGUAUUUGAGUGUUUGCUAGACAGGGACAGAGUUUUAAACUUCUUAAAGUUUUUUUUGGGUGGGGGAGAAGUUGCAUCCUAAGAGAAGCAACAAAGAAGCCACUUAAAGAGGUAGGAGGUGGCAGUAAUUUUUAGAGCUAGGAGGGAAUUUAAGGAGGGCAUUUAGAGGACAUUUACCCUCUCCUCUUACUGAUGUAGGAACUGAGGCCCCAACAGGUAGACUAAGCUGCCCUACGACCCAGGACCAGUCAACACCAGAGCAGGGAUUAGAACCCAGACUGCUGGGCUGCUGGGUCCACUCUCUGCUGUCUUUCCACAAUAGCAUGCUUCCCCACCCCUGGUGAUGAGUUAAGAUGAACGCACUGGUGUAUAAUGAGCUGUCGUCGUCUUCGUCCUCCUCCUCUUCCUCCUCUUCUCUUGUAUACAGGCAAGAAGAGUCUUCGUAGUCUGACUCAUGAGGCACAUUUUCUUUAUUGUCAUCACAUUCAAUCACAACAGUUGGCACUUGUCUUAUUUCUGGAAGGCCCAUAGGUCCUGCUUUGGUGACCCCAUCACCCGAGUGCAACCCAGAGCUGUGGUAAGAAGUGGAACAGGGGACCCGCUGCUCAGAGCUGUUUAAAGACAAGGAGGAAAGAGGAAAUUCACUUUGGCUAACGUGCUAUAUAAAUGCAUCAAAACCAUUUUAAAACUCAGUUGCCCAGUCCUAAGAGACAAAGGGUCUACUGGGCAAGUAAAGUUCCAUUGCUCAUCUUACAGGGAAUCACUUUAAGACGGCACGGUGUCCUGAUGGGAAUAGUGGCUAAGAUGGCACGGUUUCCUGAUGGGAAUAGUGGUUAAGAUGGCAUGGUUUCCUGAUGGGAAUAGUGGCGUGGGAUAGGAAAUAAUAAAUCCGGCUCCUCGUGGGUGGUGUGAUGGUUGCACAAUGAUGUGAACGUACUUAAUGCCAUUGAACUGUAUGCUUUAGAAUGGUUAAGAUGGCAAAUUUUAUGUUAUCUGUAUUUACCAUAAUUAAAAAAAAUUAAAAGCAAGGGUAAAGGAUUAAUUUGAUAGUGAAGCUACAGAUUCAGGAGAGAAAGAUAAUAAUUGAGGUUCUAGUUUUCUAAAGCUACACAGGGCGACUAAUAGGGACUGAGUGUGUGAAAGACUGAAAUGCUGUGGCUGGAGAUGCUGAGAAAGGGAAGAGCGGGAUGGACACAAGGCUGGAGACCCAUGCAUGACAUUGUUAGCGAUGACCUAGAGAAAGUUCUCUCCCACAGGGAGCCACAGAUUAACUGGAAGUGGAAUUUAUAUCUUUCAUUUAAGGAAUUUCUAAAUACAGGAAACUCAAUGCAUUUUACCAUCCAAAAGUGUUUGACAUGCCUAAGGAAAUGGAGCAUGAGGUUAUAUUAUAUAUCAGGAGGCAUCUAGUGGUGUGCUGCAGGGAUGUGGUGCUCUGGACUUGGUUAGCAUCUUUAUCAAUGGCAAUGACAAAAAGGGCAUCCUCAAUGAAUAACUGAAAGAGUUGAAGGAGAGAAGGAAAGAAGGGAGAGUGAAUAGAGAGAACAUUUACUAAAUGUGUAAUUUUCACACACAGUGUUGCAUUUCACCUUUCCAGCAACCGUAUGGGACAGGUGCUGUUCUCCCCAUUUUAUGAAGCAGGAAAUUGAAGCUCUGAAAGGGUAAUGAAUAGGCCCACAAGGACACAGUUGGUAAAGGAAGGGCUUGAAAUUUGAACCUACUGUAUUACAAAUUCUGCAUGCAAAAGUUGAACUGUGAUACUUAUGAGAUGUGUCCUUUGAUAAAACACACACCUGACUAAAUGUACCCAGGCAAGAUGGAGGAAAUAUCAUACCUUGUCAACAACGUGUGUAAAAAAUGGGCAUCAUUAUUUAUAACUAUUUUAAGUCCUACUAACUAGGGUAGGUAAUAGUAUUCUACCCUGCCAUGACCAGGCCACUCCUGGGGCACUGAGUUUAAUACUCAGGGCGUUCAGGAGACCCAUCUAUUCACCGAUUCACCUUGGCUGCUUUUGCACCAAAAUAGAAGAGUGGAGUAGUUGCAAUAGAGCUGAAAAUAUUUACUAUCUAUCUGGUUCCUUAAAGAAAAAAUUUUCUGUGCCCUGAUCUGAACCAGUGUUUUCUAAACCUUGAUUAUACUCCCACCUCCUUAAUCUUUUUUGUGUAUGGCAUCUUUGAAGUCCAUUUACACUAUUAUUUACUUUGUAAUUUUUUAAGUCAGUACGGUAUUUUUUAAAAAUUUAAACACUAUUGUAACCUCAUCCUAAGCAAAUGAUAUCUUUGUAAUAACAGGUUUUGUAUGUAAAUCAUAUAGGUUUAUAACAUGUUAAGAUAUAUUUUUAUAUUUGUAAUACAUAUAUUUUCAAUAUUGAUAUAUGCAUAAGUACAUACAAUAUUCAAUAAAAUAUUAAAACUAA